AACGAACGCUGGCGGCGUGGAUAAGACAUGCAAGUCGAGCGCUGAUUCCGAGGUAGCAAUAUUUCGGAGUCGGAGCGGCGCAAGGGUGCGUAACACGUGGGUAAUCUGCCGUGAAGUCUGGGAUAACUUGCUGAAAGGCGAGCUAAUACCGGAUGUGGCCGUUGGAAGGCAUCUUCUGACGGCUGAAGUUGGGGACCGUAAGGCCUGACGCUUCAUGAUGAACCCGCGGCCUAUCAGCUAGUUGGUGAGGUAACGGCCCACCAAGGCUAAGACGGGUAGCUGGUCUGAGAGGACGACCAGCCACACUGGAACUGAGACACGGUCCAGACACCUACGGGUGGCAG
rnacentral:rRNA from 1 species